rnacentral:rRNA from 1 species
CUACGGGACGCUCCAGUGGGGAAUAUUGGACAAUGGGCGCAAGCCUGAUCCAGCAAUGCCGCGUGAGUGAAGACGGCCUUAGGGUUGUAAAACUCUUUCGCUAGGGAAGAUAAUGACUGUACCUAGUAAAGAAGUCCCGGCUAACUCCGUGCCAGCAGCCGCGGUAAUACGGAGGGGACUAGCGUUGUUCGGAAUUACUGGGCGUAAAGAGUUCGUAGGCGGACUGACAAGUUAGAGGUGUAAUCCCAGGGCUCAACCCUGGAACUGCCUUUAAAACUGUCAGUCUAGAGACCGGAAGAGGUUAGGGGAAUACCUAGUGUAGAGGUGAAAUUCGUAGAUAUUAGGUGGAACACCAGUGGCGAAGGCGCCUAACUGGUCCGGUACUGACGCUGAGGAACGAAAGCGUGGGGAGCAAACAGGAUUAGAUACCCCGGUAGUC